ACUACAUAUCAUAGCGGAGGAAAAGAAACUAACAAGGAUUCCCCUAGUAACUGCGAGUGAAGCGGGAAAAGCUCAAAUUUAAAAUCUGGUGGCCUUUGUCCAUCCGAGUUGUAAUUUAGAGAAGCGUCUUCCGCGCUGGACCGUGCACAAGUCUCCUGGAACGGAGCGUCAUAGAGGGUGAGAAUCCCGUCUUUGGCACGGACACACCAGGGCUUUUGUGAUGCGCUCUCAAAGAGUCGAGUUGUUUGGGAAUGCAGCUCAAAAUGGGUGGUGAACUCCAUCUAAAGCUAAAUAUUGGCGAGAGACCGAUAGCGAACAAGUACCGUGAGGGAAAGAUGAAAAGCACUUUGGAAAGAGAGUGAAACAGUACGUGAAAUUGUUGAAAGGGAAACGCUUGAAGUCAGUCGCGUCGCCCGAGACUCAGCCUUGCCUCGGCUUGGUGUACUUCUCGGCUGACGGGUCAGCAUCAAUUUUGCCCCUUGGAUAAUGGCGAGGGAAAUGUGACACCUUUACGGGUGUGUUAUAGUCUCUCGUCGCAUGCAAGGGUCGGGAUUGAGGAACUCAGCACGCGCCCUCGGGCGUCGGGGCAUCUGCCCACGAUACGUGCUUAGGAUGUUGGCGUAAUGGCUUUAAACGACCCGUCUUGAAACACGGACCAAGGAGUCUAACAUGCCCGCGAGUGUUCGGGUGGAAAACCCGUGCGCGCAAUGAAAGUGAAAGUUGGGACCUCUGUCGUGGAGGGCACCGACGCCCGGACCAGACCUUCUGUGACGGAUCUGCGGUAGAGCGUGUAUGUUAGGACCCGAAAGAUGGUGAACUAUGCCUGAAUAGGGUGAAGCCAGAGGAAACUCUGGUGGAGGCUCGUAGCGAUUCUGACGUGCAAAUCGAUCGUCRAAAUUUGGGUAUAGGGGCGAAAGACUAAUCGAACC
rnacentral:rRNA from 1 species